CUUCCCCCUUCACUCUCUUUCUCCUGCUCUGGCCAUGGUAAGACAUGCUUGCUUCCCUUUCACCUUCUGCCGUGCUUGUAAGUCUCCUGAGACCUCCAAGCCAUGCUUCCUGAACAGCCUGCAGCACUGUGAGUCAAUUAAACCUCUUUUCUUCAUAAAUUACCCAGUCUCAAGUAGUUCUUUAUAGCAGAGUGAGAGCAGAUGAAUACUGAAAACUGGUACCAGAGAAGUGAGGCAUUGCUAUAAAGAUACCUGAAAAUGUGGAAGCAACUUUGGAACUGGGUAAUGGGGCAAAGGUUGAAACAGUUUGGAAGGCUCAGAAGAAGACAAGAAGAUGAGGGAAAGUUUGAAAAAUUUGCAGCCCGACAAUUUGGUAGGAAAGAAAACUCAUUUUCUGGGGACAAAUUCAAGUAAAGAAGAGCAGAAAGUUAAUAGCCAAAAAAAUGGGGAAAAUGCCUCAAGACAUUUCAGAGACCUUCAUGGCAGCCUCUUCCAUCACAGCCCUGGAGGCCUAGGAGGUAAAAAAUGGUUUCAUGGGCCAGGCCCAGGGUCUCGCUGCUCUGGGCAGCCUCUGGACAUGGUGCCCUCCAUUGUGGCUGCUUCAGCUCCAGCAGUAGCUAAAAGGGGCCAAGGUACAGCUUGGACUGUUGCUUCAGAGGGUGCAAACCCCAAGCCUUGGAAGCUUCUGUGUGGUGUUGGGCCUGCAGCUGUGCAGAAGACAAAAAUUGAACUUUGGGAGCCUCUGCCUAGAUUUCAGAAGAUGUAUGAAAAUGCCUGGAUGACCAGGCAGAAAUCUGCUGCAGGGGUGGAGCCCUCAUGGAGAACCUCUACUAGGGCAGUGUGGACGGGAAAUGUGGGGUUAGAGCCCCCAUACAUAGUCCCCACUGAGGCACUGCCUAGUGCAGCUUUGAGAAGGCUGCCAUCCUCCAGACCUCAGGAUAGUAGAUCCACUGACAGCUUGUGCUGUGCAACUGGAAAAGCUGCAGGCACUCAAUGCCAGCCUGUGAAAGCAGCCAUGAGGGCUAUACCCUGCAGAGCUGAUGGGGCAGAGCUGCACAAGGCCUUGGGAGCCCACCCUUUGAGUCACUGUGGCCUGGAUGUGAGACACUUCCACUGUACGAACAAUGCCUGAUCAUUCUUCUAGAGGAUGAGAAACCACAGGGAUCAAAAAGGAGCUGUUCCAGCUGAGGCCUUUAGCUUAGCCAGCUCCCACUUGACCAGCUAUUAAUAGUCAACCACAGAUGUAUGAAUCAGCAAGUUGAGAUCAGUCCAAAGGAAAGUCGGAUGGCCAUGAAACCAAUAAUCUGGUAGCAGAGACAUCAAUGGGUCUAUAAGUCUGUGACUGCAUAUGCCAAAUUUUUGGGGUCCUGGAACCAGUCCCUCACAAACACCAAAGAAUGACUCUAUACUCCAGGCUGUGGAUCAUCUUGUCAGGGGUUUCUCCCAUCUAAUAAAAUAUGAAGACCCUCUCCACCUUUUGGAGGACAAUGUUGGUAUCUUGGAGUUUGAUAUCACCAUGUCGAAACCAAUACACUAACUUAUCAUGAAAGCACAUAAUGGGAGAAUAAACAACAACUCUGAAUUUAAGCAAACAAACCAACUGCACUGGUUGAGGCUGGGAGCGUGAGUGGAACCAGCUGAGGAAGAUGUGGCCCAAUCAGAGCCUUUACCAAGUCUUGGUAAUAAAUGCCCUUGGCAAAUAAACACAAUCAGAACAAAAACUACUUUCCACUACCACUGAAAGGAAAAAAUGUUGGCAAAGAUUAUGGAAAUGUGGUGACUUAUAAUUAUUCAGUUGAGGGGAAAUAUAAACUGGGACUUACAUAGACUUUGGAUGCCAAACAAAACUAUUAUAAUGAAAUUCUGGGAAACCAAAUGUAAAUCAAAACUGUGGUCCAGGCUACAGAAUUUCUCCACUAUUGAAUAUAUAAAAGUGAAAUCGAAUCACCAAGGAGGACAAAGCAAGUAACGAUAUCAGCUAUUUCUCACAAUGAAAUCCUAAUAAAAAUGAAACUGAGUUUGUUAAACUUCAAUUGUCUGAGGUAGAUGCAUUUCCUCUUGUUAUUUAAACAGCAGAUUCUUGCUUACCUAAAAUACAGAGCCCUAGAAUGUCCAUUUGCCCAAUAAAAUCUUUGUUUAGGAAAUACAAUACAUGAAAUACUCAAACAAUAGGGUAUUAUAUAUGUUAUGAAAGGAUGCAUUUAUAUUUCAUAGACAAUUUAGUUUCCCAUGAGUUAAAUGAAUUUCCAGAUUAUUGUGUGAUUAAGUUCUUGGGUUCUAAGAAAGUUUAAAGUAAAGUUUAGGUAAUGGCCAAAUUAAGAUGAAUAAAAUAAUUGAAUAGAAAAACACUAUUUGAAAUUAUAAUACAAUUAAUACCAAAUAUUUGAUUUUACUAAAUUAUAUAAACUCAGACAAACCUUAUUCACUUAUAGCAGUAGUGCUUUCUAAAAAUUCCAGCAUCAUUUAGAAGGAAAACAAUGGAAGAUAUUAAGGGACAAUCCGUUGUGGCUAGAAGACAAUAUUACAUCUUUUAUGUGCAUUUUAAAAUAUUUAUACUGUUAUUUUCAUAUACUCAUUAUGUAUCGUGUUUAAUCUUAAACAAAUAAGAUGUUUUACUUUAUUACAUUUUGAAACUUGGAUUGGCCUAGGAGCCCUUAUUUGGUCAAUGUGUGAGGACGUGGAGGCCAUCCUAUCAGAAGGAUGAGCUCCAACCUAUGUUGGGUAAUUUUAUAUGUAAACUUGGUUGAGCCAAGGUGCCAGACAAUUCAUCAAACAUUAUUCUGGAUGUUUCCAUGAAGGUGUUUUUUUGGAUGAGAUUAACACUUAAACUGGUAGAAUUUGAGUAAAGCAGAUUACCUUCCAUAGUGUGGAUAGGCCUCAUCCAACCAGUCAAAGUCCUUAAUAGAACAGAGACUGACCUUCCUCAGAGGAAGAAUGAAUUCUGCCAGCACAUUGCCUUCAGAUUCAAGCUGCAACUCUCCCCUGGGUCUUCAGCCUGACAGAAUCUCCACCUUGCAGAUUUUGAAUUUACCAAGCCCCCCACAAUUGUGUGAACCAAUUCUUUAAAAUCUCUCUCUCUCUCCCCUCUCUCUCUCUAUAUAUAUAUGAUAUAUGAAUCAUAUAUAUGAUUCUAUAUAUAUUUGAUAUAUAUGAUAUAUGAAUUAUAUAUUUAUAUAUAUUAUAUAUAUGGAGAGAGAGAGAGCUAUCCUAUUGGUUCUGUUUCUCUGAAGAACUCUGACUAACACAACCCCAUGAAAGACUGAGAGUGGAGCCAUCACUUUUUUGCUGUCCCUUAGAAAUCUGGGACGUAUUGGCAUUUAUGUGUCCUUAGCUAUAUAGAAUUAGAUAAAAUAUUAAUCAGUUUUUAACUACAUUCGUCCUCACAAAACAGACAAGUGGUCUAAAGAUUCUCUCAUAUGAAAAACUCAAGUUGAGAUUAUGUUAAAAUUCAGCACAAAUAAGUCUCAAGAUACUUCAUAACUACAUUCCAAUAAAAAAUCAUUAUUGAAUUACAUAUGAGAAAUCUGUUAUGAAAUCUAUUAUAAAAUUGUAACUAUCUGAAAAUCCAUUUGAAAAAUAGAUUUAUGUUAUUAAUGAACCAUGCCUCAGGUAUAUAAUGUGCUAGGAAAUAAUAAUUCAAGUUUUAAAAACCUGAUAUUUGUAUAAUUUAUAAAUAAAUAACAAGGGAUAUGUACAAAAUAUGGUUUAAUGAGUGAUCAUUCAAACACAUUUACACACUAAUUUUAGAUGAAUGUCAAGCAGAAUAAACAUUUAAAAAAGCUAACUGAUAAAAUCAAAUGCCUUCAAACCAAUCUUUGAUGCUAGAAGUCAGAAAAAUUGAUACUAUUAGAGGGAAUAAGUAGCGAAAAGAAGGCUUCACAAAGAGGUUUCUGGCUUUGCCGAUGUUUUGUUACUUGAGCUUGGUUUGGUUAUAUGGACGUGUUCAGUGCAUUAAAGUUCAUUGAGU